AGCGCCUAGCCGUUGCUUCAUAGCAACACGUUUCCGACGGCCUAAUGAAGUAAUUUAAGCAGGCGCAUUAAUGCACCGUAUGUCAUCACUUGCUUGUGAUGCAUUGUACUGUGUGCACCAAAAUUAUAUUUCUCCGUUGUUUGAGUAUUUCUACAGUUCUUUUAUUCCUGCAAGACCUCGUAAUCCUCAACAUGGCCCAUUACGAGCAGGAUAUAUGAAGAUCAGCGCUUAAAAUUGAAGGAAGAAAUAAUUAAGGAUCGUCAAUUAGCCGGGCGUGACAAUUAGCCGGCGUGACUUGCAGGUUUUGUGCAGGACAAUUAUUUGGACUGAUCUCAAGCAAUUUAAUUGCGGUGUAUUGCAUUUAUUGUUAUUAAUAUCAUCACCCAACACUCAGGUAAUAUAAAUAAAAGUAUAUCGUCAAGAAAUAUCACAGGUUGAAUACACUUGUCUCCCAGCAUGUCCGAGGAAAGGGAAUUAGUUAAGAAGCGAGGAAGCUUCAAAGGUCGAUUGACUGCUUUCGUUAACUUUCUGGAUUCACUCAAGGACAGAACCCUAACCAGUUGUGACACGGCUGAGCUGCAGCUGCGCAUAGGCAAGAUGGAGUCGUUGUAUGAGCAGUAUGAUGAGGUACAGUUACGUCUGGAAUGCAUUGUCGAGGACAUUAAAUUACAAUUUUCCGAACGUGCUGAUUUUGAGUCUCUUUAUUAUAAAUCCUUGUCUAGGGCACAGAAUAUUAUCAGUGAAUAUAAUAAAGAUAAUGGGUCGAUGGAAAGCUGUAAAAGUACUCACACGAAUGUGCAUAAGCCAGUUAAGUUGCCAACAAUUCAGUUACCUAAGUUCAGCGGUUUAUAUACGAAUUGGCUGGAAUUCCGUGACACCUUUAGUAGUCUUGUCCAUUGCAAUGAUAGCAUUGACGAUAUUAAUAAAUUCCACUACUUGAGAGCAUCUCUUGAAGGGUCGGCUGCGGUAGUUAUUAAUUCUAUUGAAUGUUCUUCGAGUAAUUAUUCUGUGGCAUGGCAGUUGUUAUGUGAUCGGUUUGAUAACAGAAGAUUACUAAUACAAAAUCAUGUGUCUGCUUUAUUUAAUGUUGAAAGUAUCACAAAGGAGUCUUCUGUUGUAUUAAAGUCUUUAAUUGAUU